AUUGAACGCUGGCGGCAUGCCUUACACAUGCAAGUCGAACGGUAACAGGUCUUCGGAUGCUGACGAGUGGCGAACGGGUGAGUAAUACAUCGGAACGUGCCCGAUCGUGGGGGAUAACGAAGCGAAAGCUUUGCUAAUACCGCGUACGAUCUACGGAUGAAAGCAGGGGACCGCAAGGCCUUGCGCGAACGGAGCGGCCGAUGGCAGAUUAGGUAGUUGGUGAAAUAAAAGCUACCAAGCCGACGAUCUGUAGCUGGUCUGAGAGGACGACCAGCCACACUGGGACUGAGACACGGCCCAGACUCCUACGGGAGGCAGCAGUGGGGAAUUUUGGACAAUGGGCGAAAGCCUGAUCCAGCCAUGCCGCGUGCAGGAUGAAGGCCUUCGGGUUGUAAACUGCUUUUGUACGGAACGAAAAGACUCUGGUUAAUACCUGGGGUCCAUGACGGUACCGUAAGAAUAAGCACCGGCUAACUACGUGCCAGCCGCCGCAGUAA
rnacentral:rRNA from 1 species